AAUAAGUACAGUUUUAGCAUUAUUUAUGUCCAACGUUUGAUUGUUCGUCUUAUUUGAAAAAUGAUUAUGAUUAGUAUUUUUAUUAUUAUUAGAUGAUAAAACCUGAAUAGUACUUUAUGUGAGACUAUUUUUUUAAUAUUUUUCAUAAAUUUUUCAAAUAAAACGGAUGGUCAAAACGCUGAGAACGCAUAUCUAUGGCUGUACUUAUU
rfam:Oryza nivara chromosome 12, whole genome shotgun sequence.